CCAGUCGAAGAUACCAGCUGGCUGCAACUGUUUAUUAAAAACACAGCACUGUGCAAACACGAAAGUGGACGUAUACGGUGUGACGCCUGCCCGGUGCCGGAAGGUUAAUUGAUGGGGUUAUCCGUAAGGAGAAGCUCUUGAUCGAAGCCCCGGUAAACGGCGGCCGUAACUAUAACGGUCCUAAGGUAGCGAAAUUCCUUGUCGGGUAAGUUCCGACCUGCACGAAUGGCGUAAUGAUGGCCAGGCUGUCUCCACCCGAGACUCAGUGAAAUUGAACUCGCUGUGAAGAUGCAGUGUACCCGCGGCAAGACGGAAAGACCCCGUGAACCUUUACUAUAGCUUGACACUGAACAUUGAGCCUUGAUGUGUAGGAUAGGUGGGAGGCUUUGAAGCGUGGACGCCAGUCUGCGUGGAGCCAACCUUGAAAUACCACCCUUUAAUGUUUGAUGUUCUAACGUUGGCCCCUUACCGGGGUUGCGGACAGUGUCUGGUGGGUAGUUUGACUGGGGCGGUCUCCUCCCAAAGCGUAACGGAGGAGCACGAAGGUUAGCUAAUCCUGGUCGGACAUCAGGAGGUUAGUGCAAUGGCAUAAGCUAGCUUGACUGCGAGCGUGACGGCGCGAGCAGGUGCGAAAGCAGGUCAUAGUGAUCCGGUGGUUCUGAAUGGAAGGGCCAUCGCUCAACGGAUAAAAGGUACUCCGGGGAUAACAGGCUGAUACCGCCCAAGAGUUCAUAUCGACGGCGGUGUUUGGCACCUCGAUGUCGGCUCAUCACAUCCUGGGGCUGAAGUAGGUCCCAAGGGUAUGGCUGUUCGCCAUUUAAAGUGGUACGCGAGCUGGGUUUAGAACGUCGUGAGACAGUUCGGUCCCUAUCUGCCGUGGGCGCUGGAGAAUUGAGGGGGGCUGCUCCUAGUACGAGAGGACCGGAGUGGACGCAUCACUGGUGUUCGGGUUGUCAUGCCAAUGGCACUGCCCGGUAGCUAAAUGCGGAAGAGAUAAGUGCUGAAAGCAUCUAAGCACGAAACUUGCCCCGAGAUGAGUUCUCCCUGAGACUUUAAGUCUCCUGAAGGAACGUUAAAGACGAUGACGUUGAUAGGCCGGGUGUGUAAGCGCAGCGAUGCGUUGAGCUAACCGGUACUAAUGAACCGUGAGGCUUAACCUU
rnacentral:rRNA from 1 species